rnacentral:rRNA from 4 species
AGCAGCCGCGGUAACUCCAGCUCCAAUAGCAUAUAUUAAAAUUGCUGCAGUUAAAAAGCUCGUAGUUGGAUCUGGGUUUGUGUUUGGAGACUGCUUGUCUUGGGUGGAGAGGUAACUCAAAGCCUUUGGCGGUGGUAUAUCUGAACCGAAUCUUCCAGCUGUGUCUGCAUAGGGCUUCGGCUUUGUGUGGAUAGUUUCGUUGUGUGUGAGCUUCCUCACGGGGUUCUACCUUCGUUACUAUACGCUGUAAUGCCUUUAAUCGGGUGUUCAGUGUGGACAGCACGUUUACUUUGAACAAAUUUGAGUGCUCAAAGCAGGCCUU